GUCGCCCCUUCAGAGACAUCGAUAAAAUUGGAAAAAUACAAAGAAUAUUAGCAUAACUUGUGUACAAGAAUGAUACACACAAAUCAAGAAUGGUCCAAAUUAAA
rnacentral:snRNA from 1 species